ACACAUGCAAGUCGACGGUAGCACAGAGAGCUUGCUCUCGGGUGACGAGUGGCGGACGGGUGAGUAAUGUCUGGGAAACUGCCCGAUGGAGGGGGAUAACUACUGGAAACGGUAGCUAAUACCGCAUAACGUCGCAAGACCAAAGUGGGGGACCUUCAGGCCUCACACCAUCGGAUGUGCCCAGAUGGGAUUAGCUAGUUGGUGGGGUAAUGGCUCACCAAGGCGACGAUCCCUAGCUGGUCUGAGAGGAUGACCAGCCACACUGGAACUGAGACACGGUCCAGACUCCUACGGGAGGCAGCAGUGGGGAAUAUUGCACAAUGGGCGCAAGCCUGAUGCAGCCAUGCCGCGUGUAUGAAGAAGGCCUUCGGGUUGUAAAGUACUUUCAGCGAGGAGGAAGGCAUUAAGGUUAAUAACCUUAGUGAUUGACGUUACUCGCAGAAGAAGCACCGGCUAACUCCGUGCCAGCAGCCGCGGUAAUACAGAGGGUGCAAGCGUUAAUCGGAAUUACUGGGCGUAAAGCGCACGCAGGCGGUUUGUUAAGUCAGAUGUGAAAUCCCCGGGCUCAACCUGGGGACUGCAUUUGAAACUGGCAAGCUUGAGUCUCGUAGAGGGGGGUAGAAUUCCAGGUGUAGCGGUGAAAUGCGUAGAGAUCUGGAGGAAUACCGGUGGCGAAAGCGGCCCCCUGGACAAAGACUGACGCUCACGUGCGAAAGCGUGGGGAGCAAACAGGAUUAGAUGCCCUGGUAGUCCACGCCGUAACGAUGUCGACUUGGAGGUUGUGCCCUUGAGGCGUGCUUCCGGGAGCUAACGGCGUUAAGUCGACCGCCUGGGGAGUACGGCG
rnacentral:rRNA from 1 species